UUUUGUGGGGUGCUCGAGUGGCGAACGGGUGAGUAACACGUGAGUAACCUGCCCUUGACUUUGGGAUAACUUCAGGAAACUGGGGCUAAUACCGGGUAGGAGCUCCUGCUGCAUGGUGGGGGUUGGAAAGUUUCGGCGGUUGGGGAUGGACUCGCGGCUUAUCAGCUUGUUGGUGGGGUAGUGGCUUACCAAGGCUUUGACGGGUAGCCGGCCUGAGAGGGUGACCGGCCACAUUGGGACUGAGAUACGGCCCAG
rnacentral:rRNA from 1 species